rnacentral:lncRNA from 1 species
GUAUUUCUUUUAGAAUGGGUUUAGUGUUGCUGUACUCUUUUAGUUUCUGUUUGUUGGAGAAAUUCUUUAUUUCUCCUUCUAUUUUAAAUGAUAUUCUUGCUGGUAUUUUAAAUGAUAUUCUGCAUUACUCUUCAUAUCUACUCUUAAUUCCUUCCACAUUUUCACUAUCUCCUUUUGAAUUCUGUAUCUGUUAAACUGCAGUGGUCUGUGUCAUUGUUUGCUCCUUCAGGGGAAUUCUCCUGUUCUUUUAACUGGGAAUGGUUCCUGAGCUUUUUAAUUUUGCUUAUAUUUGUCUUAUUCUGUGAGUUUAGGGAAAACAACUGCUGUAGUCUUGGGGGGCUAUUUAUAUGCAAGAUCACCCCCAGAUGGUUUGUGAGGGUUUGCUAUUUAUUUUUGACAUGAGGGUUGUUUUUGGUUUAAAUGCUUUCUGUCUCUUUCCUCAGUGUGUGUGGACUGAUAUCCCCUUAAUAGGGUGUUGCUCAUGCUUCCAGGGACGUGGAGGCAAUGGUCAGGGCCAGUAGCCAGUGCCUGGUUCCUGGGCCCUUGAGAGUGGCAAGGACAUGUGGGAAAGUGGCACAGUCUGCUCCUAGUUGCAGGGCUCUGGGAAGUGGCAGUGAUCCUCAGGCAGGUGUAUGUGAUGCCUGGAGCAUUUGGCAGUGGCAGCAGCAGGGUGUGUGUGUUCUCAGGGGAGUGAGAGCAACAAUGGGUGAUGCUUGGUUGUGUUGCCCUCCUAUGUGCCGACCUCUGAGGUGACUGGGGCCUCAUGUGGUUGCCGGUUCAAGGAUCCCUAGUGGUGGCAGACCAUGCCCACCUCUGGAGUCUGAGAUGACUGAGGUGGUUUGCUCCUGCUGCCUGUAGCCCGAGCAAGAGGUGCUUCACUGCCCAUAGCCCUACCCUCCAAGAGUCUGCACAUGUGCAGAGAAAGCUAUUCCUAUGGCCGUCCACCGCUUCUCCUCUUGCCCUCCCCAACAAUGGCACCUUGCUUCUCCUGUGGCCCCAGACCUCCUCCUGGAUUCCCUUGACUGUGGUACUCUGCUCCCCAGCCUUUGGCACACCAUCUCCUAGCCUUCAGACUGUUUGCACACAGCCAACCCUAGUCCUUUCCCUGAAACUGACCCCUGGAGCCUAAGUCUCAGUGCUCAGCCCCCUUUUGAGCACCUCAGGUUGUGGUGUACCUAUGGUCUUUGUGGCUUUCUCUGCUUUGCCCUCCUCAAUUCAGCUGCUGUGUUUUUCUCUGAGGCUUUGAAUUCCCUCCAUCUCAGCUGAUGAUCUCCCCAUCAGUUAGGUGGCUUCCCAGAGUGUGGGUUCCUUUCCUCUCAGGAAUGCUAGUCCCAUCCUGAUACAUUUUCUCUCUCUCUUUUUUUUCCUUUUUUUCCUACCCAGUUAUAUGGAGGGUUUCUUGUCCUUUUUGGAGGUAUAAGGUCUUCUGCCAGUGUUCAGUAGACGUUCUGUGUGAAUCGUUCUGCAUGUUGUUGUUGUGUUUGUGUGGGAAAGGUGAGUGCCACGUCUUACUCCUCCACUAUCUUGAGCCCACUCCUGGUAGCCUUACUUGUAAAAUGUGCUGCUUCCCAUAUGAGAUGGUUGUGAGUGUCAAAUGUAAUUCCCGUGUUUGAAAAUCCUUGUCUCUUAGAAACUGCUCCCUGAGUAAGCUGUUACUGUUGCCUAUCAUAACAGAAAAUAAGAGCAGUGAGUGAAGUGAGUGACGAGUUGAAUAGAAACCAGCAGCAUGCCUCAGGGGAAUCCUUGUCCCCCUGUCUCUUCAUCAUCAUUCAAACUCUUGGGCUGCCUGAAUUAUGAUCCUAUGGAUCUGCUCUCCCCAGCUCCAUCCUGCCCCUCUGCCCUCACUCUUAGUAUGGCUUUGACAAGAUGCCCAAGGUCUAAGAGAUGGUGAGAUGAGUUUUGUGUAAAGUUUGAAAAGCAAGCCUCCUUCCAGUCUCCUUCUAGACACUGGAGCCCACCUGGUCUCCCUCUUGCCCCCCUCUUCCCUUCCUGGGUACCCAAGAAGCUUGAAUUCCUUUUUCCUUCCUUCCCUUUGCCACCUUGGUUCAGGCUUAGCUGCCUUGUUCUGAGCUCCUGCCUGCUCAGACCCCUAGGCUUCCCCCUCCGCCUCCCCACAUCUAAAGCUUCUUGCACUCUUGAGCAUCCACUGAGGCUGUGGAUGGAUGUAGGACAGACUAGGGACACGUGUGCUCAGGUCAUGCUCUCUAUGUUGAAAGCAGUAUUACAUGAGCUGGGGAAGGUAUGUGCUAGAGCCCAACUGCCCGGGUCCUCACCUGGCUCCGGUACUUACCAGCUCUGUGACCUUGAGCGAGUUUCCUUUUUCUUUUUCCCUCAGCUGAUUCAUCUGCAAAAUGAAGACAAUCUUUGAAUCUACCUCAAAAUAUUUUUAUGAGGAUUAAAAUGGAUUUAUUAAUGUUAAAGUAUCUAGAAUGAUACCUAGCAGAAAGUACCCAGCGAAUGUUGGAUUUUUUUUUUUUUUUUGUCAUUAGUAAGGAGUCAACUACUUCUUUAUUGGCAAAUUCUAGUCAAAGGUGACCUCAAAUUUGAGGUGGUUCCCCAGGUAAAGCUCCUUUCUCCCUAGACCAUGCCUCUACCCUUGGGACAUUCCCAAGUGAGGUGUGUAUAUGAGGAGAGUUUGGCCGUAAUUCGUUUUCUCUUCCUGUAACCACGUUCUUUGCCAGGCACUUUUACAGUUGCUCCCCUAAAGGUAGAUGCAGGUCCCUGCCCUUUUUGUUGGGGCUCAGCUCCAUGACUGCUUUUAGCCCAAGGAAGUGUAGGCAGAAGUGGAUCACUUCAUAUUGUGAUGUCAGUAUUACUGAACAAGGGCUCCCUGCUCAGCAUGCACAGAAGCCGAUACUAUGGCAUCAGCUUUUGAGAAAAGAAAGAGCUUUAUUAUGAGGUCAGCCAGUAGGAAGACAGGAGGCACAGCUCAAAUCUGUCUCGGUGUGGUUUGGUCAGACCUUUAGGAGUUAAGGGAGGAGGGUUUUGAAGCACUGCAGGGCAGGUUUCUCUUAGAGGGGUUUGGAACUUAGCCGUUUAUGGAGACGUGUAUUCGAGGGGCUCUAGGGCCAGGCCUUCCUGAAUAGCGCUUCUGCAUGAGUUCUGGCGUUCAGGUUAUAGUCAUGACCUGGUCCUUUGGUUCCAUAGCAGGGAGAAAUUUUGGUUUGAGGUGUUAUUUGAGGUCAUGACCUGUGGUUUUGCUCUACUGUCUCUGAAAAACAAAUGAGUAUCUUGUCAGAAGCAGGAUAGGGCCCAUUUGGGCUGGUUCUACAGUUACACAAGGACCUUUGGGUGUUUUUUCUUGUCCUCUUGUGCCUCUAUCACCAUCAUGGAAAGAACCCACCCUGGCUCACCAGCUAGUCUGCAGAAGGUGAGACCCUGGAGACAGUGUGGAACAGAACUGAGUCUGACCUUCCACCUAUAGCUGCCUAUUUAUGCAUAUCCUAGCCCAGCCAAGCCAGAUCAAGGUCAGCCAAACCCUCAGCUAACCCACAGCUGGAUGAGCAAAAUAAGUGCUUAUUGUUGUGCACUACUGAGAUUUGCGGUUGUUGGUUGGGUGGCAGUAGCUGUCUGAUACACCUGGUGAGUGGUGUUGAAUUGCCUGUUAUUGGUGACUAGGUUUGGGCCUCCAAACCCAGAGAAGGGAAUGGCUGAUGAGCUGGGUAGACCAUGUGGAACUCUCAUUUGCUCUGAACUAGUUGAGUUGCUUUGAAAUAGGCUGUCACUGCUGCCUGUUGCUUCUGAGUCCCCACCUUGUUCCAUGUCCACAUCUGAGGCUUCGGUCUUUGCACCAGGGUUGCCUGUAGGGAAUAAGCAGAAGAGACCAGGAGAUGGCAAGAUGUGUUCUGAUGGAGCAAGUCCUGCCUAGCAGAGCACCUUGCUGCUCAGGACAUGAGUGAAAGAGAGCGAAAAGCAGGGCCAGCCGGGUCUGCUCUGUGGGACUGGGCUCUGGUUUGCUUUUUCUGUCUCGACUGCUUGGGUAGAAGAGAGAAAUGAAAAAAACAAAACAAACAAACAAAAAAACCACCUAUUUAAAAGCAAGGUUGGAGUUCCCAUCCUGGCUCAGUGGUAACGAAUCUGACUGGUAUCAAUGAGGAUGUGGUUUGAUCCCUGGCCUUGCCCUGUGGGUUAAGGAUCUGUCAUUGCUGAGAGCUUUCAGAUCUGGUGUUGUGGUGGCUCUGGUGUAGGCUGGCAGCUGUAGCUCCAAUUUGACUCCUAGCCUGGGAACUGCCAUCUGCUGUGGGUGCAGCC